GUUGUAUACUUGGUAGUUCCAAAAUUUUUUGUAUUUAUAGCUUUAUUUCGAAGGUUCGCGGAUUAUAAUAAUAAUCUAGGUGCUCGACUCAUCGUAGUCAUCAUCUGAUGAGGUAUCACCUGCAAUAAUAGAAUUUUCACUCCACUUCUCCCAUGUCCUCCCACUUACUGCCAAACAGCAUAUCCCCAAUGAUUUCGAAUAUCAUUCCAAUUAUCUCACAAUC